rnacentral:rRNA from 1 species
GACAGAGGGUGCAAACGUUGUUCGGAAUUACUGGGCGUAAAGAGCUCGUAGGCGGUUUGUCGCGUCUGCUGUGAAAACUGGAGGCUCAACCUCCAGCCUGCAGUGGGUACGGGCAGACUAGAGUGCGGUAGGGGAGAUUGGAAUUCCUGGUGUAGCGGUGGAAUGCGCAGAUAUCAGGAGGAACACCGAUGGCGAAGGCAGAUCUCUGGGCCGUAACUGACGCUGAGGAGCGAAAGCGUGGGGAGCGAACAGG